rnacentral:rRNA from 1 species
UACGUAGGGUGCAAGCGUUGUCCGGAAUUAUUGGGCGUAAAGAGCUCGUAGGCGGUUUGUCGCGUCUGCUGUGAAAACUCGGGGCUCAACUCCGAGCUUGCAGUGGGUACGGGCAGACUAGAGUGCGGUAGGGGAGACUGGAAUUCCUGGUGUAGCGGUGGAAUGCGCAGAUAUCAGGAGGAACACCGGUGGCGAAGGCGGGUCUCUGGGCCGUAACUGACGCUGAGGAGCGAAAGCUAGGGGAGCAAACGGG